rnacentral:piRNA from 1 species
UGCAUUUGAGAAAAUUUUUGA